rnacentral:snoRNA from 1 species
CUUUGUAUGAUGACUUAUGUUGAUGGAUACCCCUUCACUCUUUUAAUGAAUUAAAACACAAAGUCUGACAAAC